GGCUAAUACCCCGGAUGUCUAAACUGUUAGAGGGUUUAGACUAAAACUUCGGUGCCUCAAGAGGGGCCUGCGGGCUAUCAGCUUGUUGGUGGGGUAAUGGCCUACCAAGGCUAAGACGGCUAGGGGGCGUGAGAGCGCGACCCCCCACAAUGGAACUGAGACACGGUCCAUACUCCUACGGGAGGCAGCAGUGAGGAAUAUUGCGCAAUGGGGGAAACCCUGACGCAGCAACGCCGCGUGAACGAUGAAGGCCUUCGGGUCGUAAAGUUCUUUUCUAAGGGAAGAUAGUGACGGUACCUUAGGAAUAAGUCCCGGCUAACUACGUGCCAGCAGCCGCGGUAAAACGUAGGGGGCGAGCGUUAUCCGGAUUUAUUGGGCGUAAAGCGCACGUAGGUGGCGCUGUAAGUUAGACGUGAAAGCUCUCGGCUCAACUGAGAGAGGUCGUUUAAAACUGCAGUGCUUGAGGUUAGAAGAGGAGAGCAGAAUUCCCGGUGUAGUGGUGGAAUGCGUAGAUAUCGGGAGGAAUACCAGUGGCGAAGGCGGCUCUCUAAGUCUACACCUGACACUGAGGUGCGAAAGCGUGGGUAGCGAACGGGAUUAGAUACCCCGGUAGUCCACGCUGUAAACGAUGGAUACUAGGUGUAGGGGGUCAUUUAACCCCUCUGUGCCGAAGGCAUACGCGUUAAGUAUCCCGCCUGGGGACUACGGCCGCAAGGUUAAAACUCAAAGGAAUUGACGGGGGCCCGCACAAGCAGCGGAGCGUGUGGUUUAGUUCGAUGAUACGCGAAGAACCUUACCUGGGCUGAACUACGUGGUAGUAGUGAAGCGAAAGCGGAUCGACCCUUCGGGGAGCCUCGAUAGGUGCUGCAUGGCUGUCGUCAGCUCGUGUCGUGAGAUGUUGGGUUAAGUCCCGCAACGAGCGCAACCCUCGUCGCUAGUUACAAGUGUCUAGCGAGACUGCCGGUAUCAAACCGGAGGAAGGUGGGGAUGACGUCAAGUCAGCAUGGUCUUUAUGUCCAGGGCUACACACACGCUACAAUGGUCGGUACAAUAGGUUGCCACACCGCGAGGUGGAGCUAAUCCUCAAAGCCGAUCUCAGUUCGGAUUGUAGUCUGCAACUCGACUACAUGAAGGCGGAGUUGCUAGUAACCGCGCGUCAGC
rnacentral:rRNA from 1 species